AGAAGACAACGUGUAUCAUUUGGUUGUUGAUCAUUGUUGAUUUAUGCAAAUCAAAUUUAUAAACAAAAUUGCGAAAUAAUCUUACAUUUAAAUAGCUCAUAUUGUCAUCAAUAAAUGAUAAAUUUUUAGUUGGAAAAAUUUAAUUAAAAAUGGACUUUGACACAGAAUCA